rnacentral:rRNA from 1 species
CCUACGGGAGGCAGCAGUAGGGAAUAUUGCUCAAUGGGGGAAACCCUGAAGCAGCAACGCCGCGUGGAGGAUGAAGGUUUUCGGAUUUUAAACUCCUUUUGUUAGAGGAGAUAAUGACGGUAUCUAACGAAUAACCACCGGCUAACUCCGUGCCAGCAUCCGCCGUCAUACGGAGGGUGCAAGCGUUACUCGGAAUCACUGGGCGUAAAGCGCGCGUAGGCGGGUUAGCAAGUCAGAUGUGAAAUCCUAUGGCUUAACCAUAGAACUGCGUUUGAAACUGUUAUUCUAGAGUAUGGGAGAGGUAGGUGGAAUUCUUGGUGUAGGGGUAAAAUCCGUAGAGAUCAAGAGGAAUACUCAUUGCGAAGGCGACCUGCUAGAACAUAACUGACGCUGAUGCGCGAAAGCGUGGGGAGCAAACAGGAUUAGAUACCCGUGUAGUC